UGGACCUCUGAUUGGGCUCCCCAUAGACUUUGACCCAAGGUAAACAUGAAUUUGCUUUUAUUAUUGCUGCACAUGUCCCUGUCUUAUAGAGAAUAGUUUAUGAGCAAACCCUGUGGUAACAAAACCAUAUGUCAUGGGAGUGUGACACGUACUGUUUGUGAAUGCCUGUGAUUGGAUUAUUGGAUAUCUGCUGAUUAUAUGUCCUUGUCCAUCAUUGUCUGGUUGUUCUUGCAAGCAUUAUUAGUUAGGUUGUGUAGGUGCCAAAUUCCGCUUCUAGAUUAGUCUAUUGUACCUGGGCCCUUUGCGGUGGGGUUUGGACCCUGUGUCUGGGUUAUUGUUAUUGAACUUUGGGCCUGAGCAUGGACUUUUUGGGCCUUCAUUUUUGUUGGUGGUUCUGAAUUUAUGUACCUACAGUUCUACAAAAUUGAUAUGACUGAUUGUUUUGUUACUUGGACAAUAACUUGCUAUUUAUGUACCUAUAGUUCUAGUUUGUUGCUGCUCAAUGCUCACAUUCGUUUCUCAUCCUUGCUAUUUAUGUUGGCUGACAUAACUUGCCUGUUGCUCUUAUGCGACCAACAUCCUCGUGACAGGGUUUGUCGGAACUGCCAUCUCUUUAGGGUGCUUCUCCGGCGCCGCCAUCAUCACCAAGCGCAGGGAGUACCUGUACCUCGGUGGCCUGACCUCUUCUGGCAUGUCAAUCCUUCGACAUGAAACUCUCAAGAACGUAGGUGACAAGAAGAGGAAGAGGAUGUCCUGAAUGCUUCUCCCGCACAUCGUAGAUACCACCAUCGCGGCCUUGUAGGAAUUAAGCUAGCGAUGUGCCACCCUUGUGUAUCUGUUUUUGAUUGUAUGUGGAAGUUGGACGUGCAUACGUGUAUUUGCUCUUGUGAGUAUUUGACUGGAUGAUCUUUGGAUUUAAUCAGUUAAUAGAAAGAUUUAUUGA